rnacentral:rRNA from 1 species
UACGAAGGGGGGCUAGCGUUGCUCGGAAUGACUGGGCGUAAAGGGCGCGUAGGCGGAUUGCUUUGUCGGGCGUGAAAUUCCAGGGCUUAACCUUGGGGCUGCGUUCGAGACGGGUGAUCUUGAGUGGGGAAGAGGGUCGUGGAAUUCCCAGUGUAGAGGUGAAAUUCGUAGAUAUUGGGAAGAACACCGGUGGCGAGGGCGGCGACCUGGUCCUUUACUGACGCUGAGGCGCGAAAGCGUGGGGAGCAAACAGG